UGGGGAAUAUUGCACAAUGGGCGCAAGCCUGAUGCAGCCAUGCCGCGUGUAUGAAGAAGGCCUUCGGGUUGUAAAGUACUUUCAGCGGGGAGGAAGGCGAUAAGGUUAAUAACCUUGUCGAUUGACGUUACCCGCAGAAGAAGCACCGGCUAACUCCGAGCCAGCAGCCGCGGUAAUACGGAGGGUGCAAGCGUUAAUCGGAAGUACUGGGCGUAAAGCGCACGCAGGCGGUCUGUCAAGUCGGAUGUGAAAUCCCCGGGCUCAACCUGGGAACUGCAUUCGAAACUGGCAGGCUAGAGUCUUGUAGAGGGGGGUAGAAUUCCAGGUGUAGCGGUGAAAUGCGUAGAGAUCUGGAGGAAUACCGGUGGCGAAGGCGGCCCCCUGGACAAAGACUGACGCUCAGGUGCGAAAGCGUGGGGAGCAAACA
rnacentral:rRNA from 1 species